rnacentral:rRNA from 1 species
GGGAGGUAGUGACAAUAAAUAACAAUACGGGGUUCUUUAGGAUCUCGUAAUUGGAAUGAGUACAAUUUAAAUCUCUUAACGAGGAACAAUUGGAGGGCAAGUCUGGUGCCAGCAGCCGCGGUAAUUCCAGCUCCAAUAGCGUAUAUUAAAGUUGUUGCAGUUAAAAAGCUCGUAGUUGAAUUUCGGGAUCAUCAGGUUGGUCGUGCCACUGGUAUGUACUUGCCUCGGUGGUCCCUCCCUCUUGAAGAACCGUAAUGCCAUUAAUUUGGUGUUGCGGGGAAUCAGGACUGUUACUUUGAAAAAUUAGAGUGUUUAAAGCAGGCAAACGCUUGAAUACAUUAGCAUGGAAUAAUGAAAUAGGACGUUUGAUCUUAUUUUGUUGGUUUCUAGGAUCGACGUAAUGAUUAAUAGGGAUAGUUGGG